CAGCACCUCAAGUGGUCAGGAUGAUUAUUGGGCCUAAAGCAUCCGUAGCCGGCGCUGUAAGUUUUCGGUUAAAUCUGUACGCUCAACGUACAGGCUGCCGGGAAUACUGCAGCGCUAGGGAGUGGGAGAGGUAGACGGUACUCGGUAGGAAGGGGUAAAAUCCUUUGAUCUAUUGAUGACCACCUGUGGCGAAGGCGGUCUACCAGAACACGUCCGACGGUGAGGGAUGAAAGCUGGGGGAGCAAACCGGAUUAGAUACCCCAGUAGUCC
rnacentral:rRNA from 1 species